rnacentral:rRNA from 1 species
UGGGGAAUAUUGCACAAUGGGCGCAAGCCUGAUGCAGCAACGCCGCGUGAACGAUGAAGGUCUUCGGAUCGUAAAGUUCUGUUGCAGGGGAAGAUAAUGACGGUACCCUGUGAGGAAGCCCCGGCUAAACACGUGCCAGCAGCCGCGGUAAUACGUAUGGGGCGAGCGUUGUCCGGAAUUAUUGGGCGUAAAGGGUACGUAGGCGGUCUAUUAAGUCAGGUGUGAAAGCGUGAGGCUUAACCUCAUUAAGCACUUGAAACUGAUAGACUUGAGUGAAGGAGAGGAAAGUGGAAUUCCUAGUGUAGCGGUGAAAUGCGUAGAUAUUAGGAGGAAUACCGGUGGCGAAGGCGACUUUCUGGACUUUUACUGACGCUCAGGUACGAAAGCGUGGGGAGCAAACAGG